rnacentral:rRNA from 1 species
UGGGGAAUAUUGCGCAAUGGGGGAAACCCUGACGCAGCGACGCCGCGUGUGGGAUGAAGGUCUUCGGAUUGUAAACCACUGUCGCGAGGGACGAAGCUCUGACGGUACCUCGAAAGGAAGCACCGGCUAACUCUGUGCCAGCAGCCGCGGUAAUACAGAGGGUGCGAGCGUUGUCCGGAAUCACUGGGCGUAAAGGGCGCGUAGGCGGCCCGGUAAGUAGGGGGUGAAAUCUCAUGGCUCAACUGUGAGGCUGCCUUCUAGACUGCCAGGCUUGAGCACAGUAGAGGCGAGUGGAAUUCCCGGUGUAGCGGUGGAAUGCGUAGAGAUCGGGAAGAACAUCGGUGGCGAAGGCGGCUCGCUGGGCGGCAACUGACGCUGAGGCACGAAAGCGUGGGGAGCAAACAGGAUUAGAUACCCAGGUAGUCCCUGAGCGGGCUGGCAAGGCGCAU